CUCACCUGAAUCGCAGGUGCAGCGGGGAAGAUGGCGGCUGCUCUACUUUUUACUAUUUUGUAUGAAGUUUGAACAAAAAACUGUCCUAAUUAAGAUGCAUCGUGGAUCCGAGUGCAGGGUCUAUCAUGGGGGUCAUAUGAAAUCCUUGACUGAUCCAGGCUUGUUUAAUCGCAGUUUAUAUAUCUAUCUGAGUGCAGGGUCGUCAUAUGAAAUCCUUGACUGAUCCAGGCUUGUUUCAUGAAACGGAUGCAUCGUGCAGCGCAGGAUCCUGUCUAUUAUGGGAGGAUGUGAAAUCGGUGACUGAUUGAAGCUUGUUUCAUGAGAAGCCGUCCGACUUCUGAUACACUUUUCCUCGGCAACUUUGCAGUUCCUGCCUUCCUUGAGAAUCCCUGGAGGUUGAAGCAAGGAGAUGGAGUCCGUGACUUGUUGGCAAGUUGUCGUUUUUUUCAGGUUGAUACAUUUACAUGUUUUGCAUUUACAGUCAUGUUACGUGCCUGUGUUAACCCAGGAAUGUGCAGUAGUUUAUUUCUAUGUACUGAGUUGUUGAAUUGUGAUCGCUAUUUACCUGCUUGAUUGUGUGUAUGCUUAACGUCUUGGAUUCAUUGUGUAAUAAAAGUUGUAUUGUUUA